GGGGGGGCGGUCCGCCCCGGGUGCCAUCAGGUAGGGGGGUGCCACCAGGGCUGGCCAGGCUUGGGGUUCAGUGAGCUGUGUGGCUGCACUGGUUGCCAUAGCAGCAGGGGUGCCAGGCAGCCGACACAGCUCACACAUGCAGGGGCUGGGAGCAGGAGCAGGAAACCUGCACGGACAUUUGGAGGCGGAGCCAGAUCGGCUGUGGGAGCGAAGCUAAAUGCAGCCUCA